rnacentral:rRNA from 1 species
GGGUUGUGAGGUUAAGCGACUAAGCGUACACGGUGGAUGCCCUGGCAGUCAGAGGCGAUGAAGGGCGUGCUAAUCUGCGAUAAGCGCCGGUAAGGUGAUAUGAACCGUUAUAACCGGCGAUACCCGAAUGGGGAAACCCAGUGUGAUUCGUCACACUAUCAUUACGUGAAUACAUAGCGUAAUGAAGCGAACCGGGGGAACUGAAACAUCUAAGUACCCCGAGGAAAAGAAAUCAACCGAGAUUCCCCCAGUAGCGGCGAGCGAACGGGGAGGAGCCCAGAGCCUGAAUCAGCAUGUGUGUUAGUGGAAGCGUCUGGAAAGGCGCGCGAUACAGGGUGACAGCCCCGUACACAAAAGCGCAUGUGUUGUGAGCUCGAUGAGUAGGGCGGGACACGUGGUAUCCUGUCUGAAUAUGGGGGGACCAUCCUCCAAGGCUAAAUACUCCUGACUGACCGAUAGUGAACCAGUACCGUGAGGGAAAGGCGAAAAGAACCCCGGCGAGGGGAGUGAAAAAGAACCUGAAACCGUGUACGUACAAGCAGUGGGAGCACCCUUUGGGGUGUGACUGCGUACCUUUUGUAUAAUGGGUCAGCGACUUAUAUUCUGUAGCAAGGUUAACCGAAUAGGGGAGCCGGAGGGAAACCGAGUCUUAAUUGGGCGUUAAGUUGCAGGGUAUAGACCCGAAACCCGGUGAUCUAGCCAUGGGCAGGUUGAAGGUUGGGUAACACUAACUGGAGGACCGAACCGACUAAUGUUGAAAAAUUAGCGGAUGACCUGUGGCUGGGGGUGAAAGGCCAAUCAAACCGGGAGAUAGCUGGUUCUCCCCGAAAGCUAUUUAGGUAGCGCCUCGUGAACUCAUCUCCGGGGGUAGAGCACUGUUUCGGCUAGGGGGCCAUCCCGGCUUACCAACCCGAUGCAAACUGCGAAUACCGGAGAAUGUUAUCACGGGAGACACACGGCGGGUGCUAACGUCCGUCGUGAAGAGGGAAACAACCCAGACCGCCAGCUAAGGUCCCAAAGUCAUAGUUAAGUGGGAAACGAUGUGGGAAGGCCCAGACAGCCAGGAUGUUGGCUUAGAAGCAGCCAUCAUUUAAAGAAAGCGUAAUAGCUCACUGGUCGAGUCGGCCUGCGCGGAAGAUGUAACGGGGCUAAACUAUGCACCGAAGCUGCGGCAGCGACACUAUGUGUUGUUGGGUAGGGGAGCGUUCUGUAAGCCUGUGAAGGUGUGUCGUGAGGCAUGCUGGAGGUAUCAGAAGUGCGAAUGCUGACAUAAGUAACGAUAAAGCGGGUGAAAAGCCCGCUCGCCGGAAGACCAAGGGUUCCUGUCCAACGUUAAUCGGGGCAGGGUGAGUCGACCC